rnacentral:rRNA from 1 species
UAGCCAGACUCCUACGGGAGGCAGCAGUGAGGAAUAUUGGUCAAUGGACGGAAGUCUGAACCAGCCAUGCCGCGUGCAGGAUGACGGCUCUAUGAGUUGUAAACUGCUUUUGUACGAGAAUAAUAGUUCUUACGUGUAGGGAUUUGAAUGUAUCGUACGAAUAAGGAUCGGCUAACUCCGUGCCAGCAGCCGCGGUAAUACGGAGGAUUCGAGCGUUAUCCGGAUUUAUUGGGUUUAAAGGGUGCGUAGGCGGUUGGAUAAGUUAGAGGUCAAAUGUCGGGGCUUAACCCCGUGCCUGCCUCUGAUACUGUUCGACUAGAGAGCGGAUGCAGCAGGCGGAAUGAGUAGUGUAGCGGUGAAAUGCUUAGAUAUUACUCAGAACACCGAUUGCGCAGGCAGCUUGCUAAUCCGCAUCUGACGCUGAUGCACGAAAGCGUGGGUAGCGAACAGGAUUAGAUACCCCGGUA